AUAUAAUUAAGCGGAGGAAAAGAAACUAACAAGGAUACCUUUAGUAACGGCGAGUGAAGUAGGUAUAGCUCAAUCUUUUAAUCCUUUAUUUAUAAGUGAAUAAAGGAAAUGUAGUCUUUGGAAUUUAAUUAAUUUUUAAACCUUUAUUAUAAAUUCAUUGGAAUAUGAUAACAAGGAAGGUGAAAUUCCUGUAUUAAUAAAGAAGUUGUAAAAAUAAUAAAUUAAAUUCUAAGAGUCGAGUUGUUUGGGAUUACAGCUCUAAAAAGGUGGUAAAUUUUAUCUAAAGCUAAAUAUUAACAAGAGACCGAUAGCGAACAAGUACCGUGAGG
rnacentral:rRNA from 1 species